UUUGAUGAGAAGAAUAAAUUUCAUUCUGGUUCUUAGCAGAGAUCAAUGAUAAGAUUUCUGUCCUCUUAAGGGCAUGUUAUCUGCAUUUAAAAAAUUGGAAAGUGCAAAUCAAAGAGCAUUCCUUGGAAGGAGGGG
rfam:Loxodonta africana unplaced genomic scaffold scaffold_6, whole genome shotgun sequence.